AGAGUUUGAUCAUGGCUCAGAUUGAACGCUGGCGGCAAGCCUAACACAUGCAAGUCGAGCGGCAGCGAAAGAAAGCUUGCUUUCUUGUCGGCGCGCGGCAAACGGGUGAGUAAUAUCUGGGGAUCUGCCCGAAAGAGGGGGACAACCAUUGGAAACGAUGGCUAAUACCGCAUAAUGUUUAUUAUAUUUUGUAAACCAAAAUGGGGGACUUAUUUAUAAGCCUCAUGUUUUCGGAUGAACCCAGAUGAGAUAGCUUGAUGGUAAGGUAAAAGCUUACCAUGGCAACGAUCUCUAGCUGGUCUGAGACGAUAACCAGCCACACUGGAACUGAGAUACGGUCCAGACUCCUACGGGAGGCAGCAGUCGGGAAUCUUGCACAAUGGGCGAAAGCCUGAUGCAGCUAUGCCGCGUGUAUGAAGAAGGCCUUAGGGUUGUAAAGUACUUUCAGCGGGGAGGAAAAAGAAAUGAUUAAUACUUAUUUCUCUUGACGUUACCCGAAGAAGAAGCACCGGCUAACCCGUGCCAGCAGCCGCGGUAAUACGGAGGGUGCUAGCGUUAAUCAGAAUUACUGGGCGUAAAGAGCUUGUAGGCGGUUUUUUAAGUCAGAUCUGAAAUCCCUGGGCUCAACCUAGGAACUGCAUUUGAAACUGAAAUUCUAGAGGAUCGUAGAGGGAGGUAGAAUUCUAGGUGUAGCGGUGAAAUGCGUAGAUAUCUGGAGGAAUACCCUUGGCGAAAGCGGCCUCCUAAACGAAUACUGACGCUGAGAUGCGAAAGCGUGGGGAGCAAACAGGGUUAGAUACCCUGGUAGUCCAUGCCGUAAACGAUGUCGACUUGGAGGUUGUUUCCUUGAGAAAUGACUUCCGUAGCUAACGCGUUAAGUCGACCGCCUGGGGAGUAGGCCGCAAGGCUAAAACUCAAAUGAAUUGACGGGGGCCCGCACAAGCGGUGGAGCAUGUGGUUUAAUUCGAUGCAACGCGAAAAACCUUACCUGGUCUUGACAUCCACAAAAUUUUUCAGAGAUGAAAAAGUGCCUUCGGGAAUUGUGAGACAGGUGCUGCAUGGCUGUCGUCAGCUCGUGUUGUGAAAUGUUGGGUUAUGUCCCGCAACGAGCGCAACCCUUAUCCCCUGUUGCCAUCGGUUAAGCCGGGAACUCAGAGGAGACUGCCGGUUAUAAACCGGAGGAAGGUGGGGACGACGUCAAGUCAUCAUGGCCCUUACGACCAGGGCUACACACGUGCUACAAUGGUGUAUACAAAGAGAAGCAACCCUGUAAAGAUAAGCAAACCUCAUAAAGUACAUCGUAGUCCGGACUGGAGUCUGCAACUCGACUCCACGAAGUCGGAAUCGCUAGUAAUCGUGGAUCAGAAUGCCACGGUGAAUACGUUCCCGGGCCUUGUACACACCGCCCGUCACACCAUGGGAGUGGGUUGCAAAAGAAGCAGGUAGCUUAACCUUAUUUUUUGGGAUGGCGCCUACCACUUUGUGAUUCAUGACUGGGGUGAAGUCGUAACAAGGUA
rnacentral:rRNA from 1 species